GCCAUCCAGACAAUUCCAGAUUUUUUCAAAAAAAAUUACAGAUUUUUCGGAAAAACACUUGGCAUCCCUGAGAGCUAUACUCGCUUUGUUAACUUCCUUGACCUACGGUAAAUCUAGACUACCUAUUUUAUGACUAUGUUUCACGCAUUUUUGAGAAUACCAUUUAUACGUCAAAAAGUGGAUCGAUUUUAGUUAUGAACGAAGAGUAUUUUUAACGCAUUUUCGAGAAUGUCAACGGCGAAGAAAAAUGCGUAAAAAGUAUAUCUCACAGAGUAAAGAAAAUUUACACUUCGACGUGGGGCUAUUUUCAAAUAAGUGUUCAUAUUGCAAACAAUGCUUCUUGUUUACUUUCGCGAUUAUUUAUCGAAGGCAGAGAAAUAUGGACGAACAUUCCAAACCUCUUAAUAAAUCAUAUAAUGGUGCUAUGAUUCGAAAUGCAUGAAGCCCAGUAAUGAUUCAGAAUCAGAUUAGAAAAAAGUUCUAUGUUUGGGCUCGAAUCUUGAAGGCGUACCGCCGUACCGUUUAAGGAAGUUCAAGAUGGUAUGACCCCUAAAUAUUUUUUGUAUUUGAAUAAAUUAGAAUAAAAAUUAA